UCGAAUAGGAAACUCGGUAUGCAACGGAAAUGAUACACGUUAGAAGAAACGUGUUAAAGAUUUAUCUCCGAAUGGACUUGGGAUUCACGGAAUUUGGACAAUUCGAGGAGUAGCACGAUCGAGUACAAUUACAUUAACCUAAACCUGUUCCAAACCUAACGACUGAGCGCUAAAUUUGUAAGUUAAUCUAGACAUAACCUAUGUUUGAUAACUGAAUAUUUCAAGAAGAUUGGAAUCUAACCUCAGUCUAGUGAUCGAAACAUUUAUCCCACGUUAUCUUUGGAGAAAAUAUUCGCUCAAAAAUUACGUAUCCUUGUGGAGAAGUUUUGACUCUCUUUUGGAACAGCCUGUAGAGAACGAGCUAAAGAUAGACACAGCAGAGGGAACAGCAGGAACCGAGUGCUCGCGCCUUGUAAUUUCUGCCUCCUAUUUGGUCGACAGUUUCUCUGGCCACUGAGAUUCGAUCGAUUCUACGCUUAUUCGCGCAUCUCCAAUUAAU